rnacentral:misc_RNA from 1 species
GCCGGGGAGAAGAGGGAGCGCUGGGCAGAGGAAGAAGAAAGCGGGAGGGGAUGAGGAGCCGGCCUGGAGAAAUGGCGCCGUGGAGGGAGCUCGGCCAUGGAGGAAUGGAGCUGCUGCGCUUGAAGGGGAGAGGCGUCGAGCACCAUUAUGGCCACGAGGAGGAGCUGCGCAGGGGCCGUCGGGACCUGGGCGUCCCUGCUGGAAUGGAGCUCGGCCAUGGAAGCUUCUGCUGGCGGCCAAGAGAGCACAGCGAGAUGGGGAGAAAGAGGGAGCAGCGGCGUCGCGCCAUGGGCUGGAAAGCUGCUCGCCAUGGGAGCCCACAACCAUGGUGUGGAGGAGCUUCCUGGUGGCUGUUGCCGCCGUGAGGGAGGAGACAGGAGAGAGUGCGUGCGUGGGAGAGGAGGAAGAAGUGAGUGGCGGCUAGAAAAAGUGG